UGCAGAUGCAAGACAUUUAUCCAGAGAGAGGACUACAAGGAGUACAGAGGAGGAAGCAGAGCAGCAGGCCCAGUAAGGACUCAGACCUUGUUCCAGACCUUGCUCCUGGGAUGACGCUCCUGGCCAACAGAAAGUCUGUGGGAAACACGUGGCCACCUCCAGCAGUUGCCUCAAGUUGCCGACAGGACCCACGCUGUCAGAGGGAGGUGCCCAAAGGAGCCCAGUGUGACCUGGUAAGGCCAAAGGAGCCUCUCCCAUCAAACUGGAGCCAUGCUGGCAGGGACCUCUGGAAGGGCUCUCCAGAUCUCUGUCCUCUGGGCCACGUCAGAGCAAGCUCACAGGAAACCAAGUCACUGGUUCCUCUCCACAGACCCAGCCUUGGGGCGGCUUCUGGAAAUCCUGCCAUGUGCAUUAGCCUUCCUGUGGGUGAGAAGGCAGACUUUUUUGGGUCCUGGGCAGGUAAGCAGCUUCCAGGAAGGCGAGAACAUGGCAGGAAUAGCCCCUAGCAGGUGAAGGACUCACAGUGGACACAGGGCAGCUGGCUAGCUGCGUCCUGAGUAGGAGGCUGUGUCCUGCACAUCAGAGCACCAGCCCCACUCUCAGGACUGAGGUCUGGUGUCUCCCCAGGACCUCACUCUGUUCUUCCCCCAACAACUUGGAGGGCACAGUACCCUGGUCAGGCACCUGAGUGAAAAGAAUGUAAGUUGGUCUAUCUGCUUCCACCCUCAUUUUUACUCCGAAUGUGGGGCCUUGCUUCCAAAUCUGUAGAUGUUGUUUCUUGUCCUUGAA
rnacentral:lncRNA from 1 species